rnacentral:rRNA from 1 species
ACCCGAACCCCGACGGGAAGGGGCCGACGCCGUCGAAGGCGGUACCAGCGAUUGGGACG